rnacentral:rRNA from 1 species
AUUGAACGCUGGCGGCAGGCCUAACACAUGCAAGUCGAACGAGUGGCGGACGGGUGAGUAAUGUCUGGGAAACUGCCUGAUGGAGGGGGCUAACUACUGGACACGGUAUCUAAUACCGCAUACCAUCAGAUGUGCCACGAUGGGAUUAGCUUGUUGGUGGGGUAACGGCUCACAAAGGCGAGGAUCCCUAGCUGGUCUGAGAGGAUGACCAGCAACACUGGAACUGAGGAACGGUCCAGACUCCGACGGGAGGCAGCAGUGGGAAAUAUUGCACAAUGGGCGCAAGCCUGAUGCAGCCAUGCCGCGUGGAUGAAGAAGGCCUUCGGGUUGUAAAGUACUUGCAGCGGGGAGGCGUUACCCGCAGAAGAAGCACCGGCUAACUCCGUGCCAGCAGCCGCGGUAAUAC